rnacentral:rRNA from 1 species
GAAAGGCGCUUUUGCGUCACUGAUGGAUGGACCCGCGGUGCAUUAGCUAGUUGGUGAGGUAACGGCUCACCAAGGCCACGAUGCAUAGCCGACCUGAGAGGGUGAUCGGCCACACUGGGACUGAGACACGGCCCAGACUCCUACGGGAGGCAGCAGUAGGGAAUCUUCGGCAAUGGACGAAAGUCUGACCGAGCAACGCCGCGUGAGUGAAGAAGGUUUUCGGAUCGUAAAACUCUGUUGUUAGAGAAGAACAAGGAUGAGAGUAGAACGUUCAUCCCUUGACGGUAUCUAACCAGAAAGCCACGGCUAACUACGUGCCAGCAGCCGCGGUAAUACGUAGGUGGCAAGCGUUGUCCGGAUUUAUUGGGCGUAAAGCGAGCGCAGGCGGUUUCUUAAGUCUGAUGUGAAAGCCCCCGGCUCAACCGGGGAGGGUCAUUGGAAACUGGGAGACUUGAGUGCAGAAGAGGAGAGUGGAAUUCCAUGUGUAGCGGUGAAAUGCGUAGAUAUAUGGAGGAACACCAGUGGCGAAGGCGGCUCUCUGGUCUGUAACUGACGCUGAGGCUCGAAAGCGUGGGGAGCGAACAGGAUUAGAUACCCUGGUAGUCCACGCCGUAAACGAUGAGUGCUAAGUGUUGGAGGGUUUCCGCCCUUCA